rnacentral:rRNA from 1 species
GGAUGAACGCUGGCGGUAUGCUUAACACAUGCAAGUCGAACGGUCCCUUCGGGGAUAGUGGCGGACGGGUGAGUAACGCGUGAGAACAUGCCUUUAGAUUGGGGACAACAGUUGGAAACGACUGCUAAUACCGAAUGUGCCUUAGGGUGAAAGAUUUAUUGUCUAAAGAUUGGCUCGCGUCAGAUUAGCUAGUUGGAGUGGUAACGGCACACCAAGGCGACGAUCUGUACUUGGUCUGAGAGGAUGACCAGGCACACUGGAACUGAGACACGGUCCAGACUCCUACGGGAGGCAGCAGUGGGGAAUUUUCCGCAAUGGGCGAAAGCCUGACGGAGCAAUACCGCGUGAGGGAGGACGGCUUUUGGGUUGUAAACCUCUUUUAUCAGGGAAGAAUCGAUGACGGUACCUGAUGAAUCAGCAUCGGCUAACUCCGUGCCAGCAGCCGCGGUAAUACGGAGGAUGCAAGCGUUAUCCGGAAUUAUUGGGCGUAAAGCGUCCGUAGGUGGUUUAUCAAGUCUGCUGUCAAAGCGUGCGGCUUAACCGCAUAAGGGCAGUGGAAACUGAUGAACUAGAGUGCGAUAGGGGUAACAGGAAUUCCCAGUGUAGCGGUGAAAUGCGUAGAUAUUGGGAAGAACACCAGCGGCGAAAGCGUGUUACUGGGUCUGCACUGACACUGAGGGACGAAAGCUAGGGGAGCGAAAGGGAUUAGAUACCCCUGUAGUCCUAGCCGUAAACGAUGACAACUAGGCGUGGUUCGUAUCGACCCGAGCCGUGCCGUAGCCAACGCGUUAAGUUGUCCGCCUGGGGAGUACGCACGCAAGUGUGAAACUCAAAGGAAUUGACGGGGGCCCGCACAAGCGGUGGAGUAUGUGGUUUAAUUCGAUGCAACGCGAAGAACCUUACCAAGGCUUGACAUCCUCGGAACCCUGAUGAAAGUUAGGGGUGCCUUCGGGAGCCGAGAGACAGGUGGUGCAUGGCUGUCGUCAGCUCGUGUCGUGAGAUGUUGGGUUAAGUCCCGCAACGAGCGCAACCCACGUUUUUAGUUGCCAGCAUUCAGUUGGGCACUCUAGAGAGACUGCCGGUGACAAACCGGAGGAAGGUGUGGAUGACGUCAAGUCAGCAUGCCCCAUACGCCUUGGGCUACACACGUACUACAAUGCGUCGGACAAAGAGCAGCCAGCCAGCGAUGGUGAGCCAAUCUCAUAAACCGGCGCUCAGUUCAGAUUGCAGGCUGCAACUCGCCUGCAUGAAGGCGGAAUCGCUAGUAAUCGCAGGUCAGCAUACUGCGGUGAAUACGUUCCCGGGCCUUGUACACACCGCCCGUCACACCAUGGGAGUUGGUCACGCCCGAAGUCGUUACUCUAACUGCUUGCAGAGGAGGACGCCGAAGGUGGGGCUGAUGACUGGGGUGAAGUCGUACAAGGUAGCCGUACCGGAAGGUGUGGCUGGAUCAC